UAAAAAUAGUUAUCAUCUGGAAGAGGAGAAAGAUUAGUUUUCUUUCUUUCCUUUCUCCCUUCCUUUCUCUUUCUUUCUCUCUCCUCAUUUCUCUCUCCUCAUUUCUCCCUUUCUCCCUUUCUUUCUUCUUUCCUUCCUUCCUUUUUCUCUUUCUUUCCUUCUCCCUUCCUUUCUCUCUCUUCAUUUCUCCCUUUCUUCCUUCUUUCUUUCCUUCCUUUUUCUCUUUAUUUCCUUCUCCCUUUCCAUCUCUCUCCCUUUCUUUCUCUUUCUUCCUUCUUUCCUUCCUUUUUCUCUUUCUUUCCUUCUUUCUUCCUUUCUCUCUCUUUCUUCCUUUUUUCCUUCCUUUUUCUCUUUCUUUCCUUCUCCCUUUCCUUCUCUCUCCAUUUCUCUUUCUCUCCAUUUCUCUUUCUCUCCAUUUCUCUCUCUCUCUCUCUCUCUCUCUCUCUCUCUCUCUCUCUCUCUCUCUCUCUCUCUCUCUCUCUCUCUCUCUCUCUCUCUCUCUCUCUCCAGAACUAGGAACCGAGUGAAAUUAAAGAGAGAUCAAUUUAGUUCUGUUGUAAGAAAGAAUUCCCUUAACAGAUCAUAUAUUGUAGCUCCAAAGGUGAAAGGAACCUCAGGGGUCUUCUGGUUUUACAGAUGAGGAAAUCAAAGCCCAGGACUGAGAUGACUUGCUCAAAGUAGGUAAAAGAUGGAAUCUCAUCCAGGUAAAAAUGGAGUCAGAAUGGAAUGCAGGACCUCCAACUCGAAAGACAGAGCUGUUUCUACUGUACUGUGUUAAACUGAGAAGAACUGUUCUUUAGCCUAAGGCUCUCUAAAGCUUAUGUGGUUUUGAGGAAAGGGGCAUAGUGGCAAAUUGAAGGAUUGGGUCUGAGAUUUAAUCUUCAUAUAGGGAAGCUGCCUCUACUGGUAUAGAUCAGUUCCUUGUAUGUAACUGACUUUCUUAGUGUUACCAGUGGCAAAGCACAGUAUAAAGACCUUCAUCUCUCUUGGUUGGAAGCCAUUUCAAUAUGGCAACCAAGUCCCAUUGGAGAAAGCUGUCUUCAUCUGAAGGAAGAUGCUAUUUGCUGCAGAUCAAAGAGUGCAGAGCAUCUGGCGGAAGGCACACAACUUGCAGGGGGUAGAGAUAGGACUAGAAACUAGAUCUUCUACGUACCAAGGCUGGCUCUUUACCUACUAUGUCCUGG
rnacentral:lncRNA from 1 species